rnacentral:lncRNA from 1 species
UCUGAUCAUUUUUCUUAAUUAAAAUAUGAAUCGCUUCCAUCUCUUCGUAUUCAUUUUAUCUCUCCUCUUUCUUAGUGGUACUUCGAGCAGGACUGGGGCGGGGCACUUUCCAAGCCCAGCUGCUAGCAGAGAGGAAUUACAAGUUUUUCAUGCUGUAAAUAUUGGUCCAGAUGCUUGCAGAGUUUUCGAGUCCGAGAAGCGAAGAGUUCCAACCGGAUCCAAUCCACUACACAACAAGCGAUAGCUUUAAUUUGGAACACACACACACACACACACACACACAUAUAUAUAUAUAUAUACAUAUAAUAUAUGGGAAUAUAUAAACAAUUUUGUGUAGAAGAGGUAAGUUAAUACGUAUAUAAAUAGAGAGAUAGAUGUAGAAAUUAACUAGAGAUAAUAUUGUUAUUAAGGAUUUUUUUUUUCUUUAAAGCUUUUGAUUAAUUCUGUUUGAUCAUAUGGUUCUAUUAUUUAUGACAAUUCUAAGCUUUUUAGGCUAUAGAGAGGAUUAGUUGCUAUAUAAAAUACAUCACAGAAGGAGUGUUUUAAUUUUUUCUUUGAGUGCAGAAACCCUCAGAAGAUUGUAGAAUAUUAAUAUGUUAUAUACUAUGAAUGGUACUAUAAUAUAUGCUCAGAUUUUUUGAUCCACAACUUGAGUUCCAUACGUUUAAGAAUAUGGUUUUUAAUUUCUAGCUGGUAGUUUUUGGGCUUGUUGGAAAAAGCUAGCUAGGUUGAAGAAAACAAGCACAAUAAUUAUACUCCAUUAUAUAUACUAUUUGAUCUUCUUGAUUUUGCUUUUUUUCUGAUGAUAUGAUAUAUAAUUAAUUCAAUAUUCAUUCAUUGUGUCAUCGAUCAGCGCCUGAACAGCUGCUAGCUAGCUAGAAAUUAAUUAAAUAAAGACAUUAUAGCUAGCAAGCUAGAUUUAAUAAGUAUAUCAUUGCAACUACUGCAUGAUCACCUAUACAAUCAUGCAUGAUAUGAUCAACCACCCAAUAUUAAUUUUAUCUUCUUGAUUUUUUCUUUUUUCUCCCGAGUUUGUGAGUGAAUUACCUGAGUCAACAUUAAAGACGCCAGAAGUGUAAAUUAAUACUCAUUAUUAUGUCAUACAACCAUGCACCAUGCACCAUGCACUUAAUAUAUAAGCAAGCAAGCCGGCCGGCAUCAGAGACUGACAAAGAAUUAUAUAUGGUGAUUCUAUUCUGGUGGGUGAAGUCAACGUAUUAGUGUCAGUGCAAUUAUGCGU